GGAGGUAGAGCACUGUUUGGACGAGGGGCCCCUCUCGGGUUACCGAAUUCAGACAAACUCCGAAUGCCAAUUAAUUUAACUUGGGAGUCAGAACAUGGGUGAUAAGGUCCGUGUUCGAAAGGGAAACAGCCCAGACCACCAGCUAAGGUCCCAAAAUAUAUGUUAAGUGGAAAAGGAUGUGGCGUUGCCCAGACAACUAGGAUGUUGGCUUAGAAGCAGCCAUCAUUUAAAGAGUGCGUAAUAGCUCACUAGUCGAGUGACACUGCGCCGAAAAUGUACCGGGGCUAAACAUAUUACCGAAGCUGUGGAUUGUCCUUUGGACAAUGGUAGGAGAGCGUUCUAAGGGCGUUGAAGCAUGAUCGUAAGGACAUGUGGAGCGCUUAGAAGUGAGAAUGCCGGUGUGAGUAGCGAAAGACGGGUGAGAAUCCCGUCCACCGAUUGACUAAGGUUUCCAGAGGAAGGCUCGUCCGCUCUGGGUUAGUCGGGUCCUAAGCUGAGGCCGACAGGCGUAGGCGAUGGAUAACAGGUUGAUAUUCCUGUACCACCUAUAAUCGUUUUAAUCGAUGGGGGGAC
rnacentral:rRNA from 1 species